UUGGGUUUGCUCAUCGCGCUGCUUGCCUGCUGCUGGGGCUCAACAUGUUCUGGAGCGCCAUUGCCCCCGAGAGAAGAUGAAAGGGCUGAUUGUGGAGAUGGACGAAGCAUCCUUUUAUGACAUGGUCGAGUAGUAUUGCGGCUACAUAGCGAAACACCUGAAAACCUGCAUAAAACAAAGGGGCUAAAACAUGUAUUUACAGAGAGGUAUGGAGCUCCCAUCGAACCUUUUGAAAGCUCUGAGGUGCACACGAUUCUUUUAUUUUGUGCUUGAGUUGCUCUCUUUCGUUGCACCUAUGUUGAUUUACUUAACCAUUACGAGGAGGUUACUGUGGAAAAAUAAAUUCAAAGUGAAAUAAACAAAAUAGUUCCUCUAUGCAUAGACCUAAAAGAAACUAAGAAGAAAGAUGAUGCUGAAACUCCAAUUAUUGUCAUGUACACUAAUGAGUACACUGAAAAUCCGAUUUAGAUCGUUGUCUUUACCGAUUGGCAUGCUGAUCUGGGUUUUAAUUAUCACUUCCCGUGAGUUUCUUUCUUUGCAUGCUUGUGUUGCCUAGAUGACCUUAGUUUUUAUAAAGGGCCGAAAUUUGAAUGUCAUUGGUUCAUCAAGUGUAGUAAGAGACUGUGGCUUGAACAGAGAUACAUGUAAAUUUUGUAGCUCUAGGCAAUUCUUUUGGUCUGAUUUAUGGAAUCACUCGGUCGUGUAGAUUUGUUGUCAUGUACCUGUUACUAUUAUACUUAUGCACAUCCACGUUCCAGUUAGUUUUCCACUUUAAGUUGUCAACGUGAAGUUAGUUUCUGCCUUUCAACUUUAAUUCUCCAAGUGAAUUAUGUUACAGUAGAAUUCUUAAAUUGUUCACUUGUGUAGGUAAUCACCCAAUCAGAUACAUCCGCAAUGACUUUUCUGUAGGCAUUGGCAGUUUGCAGAGAUAGGGGAGGAGGAAGGUCUAAAGGAUUACUAGAAAGAGAACACUUUCACAGGUUCUUUAUAUACCUCACCGAGUCACCGUACAACCCUCCCACUUAUCUAUAUUGUUCUUUGUACUGCAGUGAAAACCUUUCCUGUAUGAGUUUACAAGAUCAUAAUUACUACUGGCUAUCAUUAGUCACUUGCUUUACAUCCUUGUUAUUGUGAGACAACUCUCAUGCGCUUUUUUAUUUUUAUUUUGCAAUGCCACAGCUUUGCAUUAAAGUUGUAUAUGGAUAAAUUCAAGUAAGACUUGGUUCCCUACUUACCCAUUAACAAAGAGAAAGCACACAACAGGUACAUGCCUCCAGAGCUAUUUUCUAACAUGGGGUCCCUGAAGUGCUCCGCUGCAAUAACCUGCUCAGGCUAUAUGCGAUGCAUUAUGUAAGUGUGGCAAGACUGAAGAGGUGUAUCAUCUGUUUAUGGAAAAUGUUGAUCAAGGCCAUAUCAGCGAUGCUAUGACAGUUAGCAUACUUGUCACUCACCUGACUAAGCAUGGAAAAAGGUUACCCUUGAGGAUGGGCUAGCAGCGGAUGCCUUUCGAAAUGCAUCAAAUUGGUUUGAUCGAUAACAGGCGUGUCAUCUGAUAUUUACUUUACCUAGAUGUAUGGAGUGCCUUGGUAUGAUGUACUGUGGGGAGGCUUGGUAUACUUACCCAAGUAUUUCGGAAUAUUUUCUAUCUGUUAUUUGUUGUAUUUUUUGGUAGAUAGAUAUACAUGGUACUUUUCUGUUCCGCAAAGGUCAUGAAAUGGAUAUAAUCCAAUUUCCGCUAUUCCUCAACUCCUAUUUUCUCUGUAGGGCACAUUUCUUAUAUUUAUUUGUUUUCUGCAAAUUCAAGGUUCAAGAGAUAGGGAAGCUCAGUUCUAAAAUCUUUGAAUAAGUUUACAUCCCGGUUCUAGAGAUCCGCAAUUCGCAGAAAUGGUUCGUGUAUUGAUUAGUUCCAUAGGAAAUAGAUUGAAUCAUACUUGAUGAGAAAGAUAAAGCAUCUUCUGGUACUUAAUCCAAAAUGCUAAAUGUUCAUGAUAACCUUGACAAUCACUUAUCAGUGCAUCUGAUCUUUCCAGGUCAUUGUAGGAAGACUGUCUUGGUUCACUAGAACCUCGAAGAACUGCAGCAGCACAGGAUCAACCCUCUCUCUGUGUCAACAUAGUGUGGAGCUGGCGUCCAAAAACAAGCAAUAGAGAAGGCUAGAAGGUGAGAAAGCAGAUUGUGCCACUUAGCGUGUGUAGGAAGUCCCCCGAAGGAUCCCAGGUUGAUGGUGCAGAAAAUCAAAACAACCUCUAAUGUCAGUAGAGAAAUCCAAGAAGGAUUAAUCUAAAGAGUAGCAACAGA